UUGAGUUUGAUCGUGGCUCAGGAUGAGCGCUGGCGGCGUGCCUAAUACAUGCAAGUCGAGCGAACAGACGAGGAGCUUGCUCCUUUGACGUUAGCGGCGGACGGGUGAGUAACACGUAGGUAACCUACCUAUAAGACUGGGAUAACUUCGGGAAACCGGAGCUAAUACCGGAUAAUAUUUCGAACCGCAUGGUUCGAUAGUGAAAGAUGGCUUUGCUAUCACUUAUAGAUGGACCUGCGCCGUAUUAGCUAGUUGGUAAGGUAACGGCUUACCAAGGCAACGAUACGUAGCCGACCUGAGAGGGUGAUCGGCCACACUGGAACUGAGACACGGUCCAGACUCCUACGGGAGGCAGCAGUAGGGAAUCUUCCGCAAUGGGCGAAAGCCUGACGGAGCAACGCCGCGUGAGUGAUGAAGGUCUUCGGAUCGUAAAACUCUGUUAUUAGGGAAGAACAAACGUGUAAGUAACCUGUGCACGUCUUGACGGUACCUAAUCAGAAAGCCACGGCUAACUACGUGCCAGCCGCCGCCGUAACACAA
rnacentral:rRNA from 1 species